CAAACAAAAUGUAUCUCGUUCCACAAAAUAUUUAGAAUCCUGCCCAGACCAAUAAUGAAGCAAAAAAACAAGUCCCAACAACCUACUUAAGCCCAUAUAUAAAUCUGGCAUAGAAUCAAAUUUUCAUCUGCUUAGCCAAUAAAACUAGUUUUAAAAACUGCAACAAAACCCACUUGAUGAACCUGUUUAAUUCACCAAAAACAUACUUCAUGAGAUGAGACCAUCAUUCAGGGAUAGUGAGGCAAGCUGAUCAACAGGGUUUGUUGCCUGCUGCUGAGCAGCAACACUCCUUAGCACCUCCAUAGCCUCUGCUACUUUAGCCUUUAAAGCCUCCGGUGAUUCAAGCAGGUGUAAAACCUCAGUCUGAUCCAUCUCCAAAAGCAUGCCUGUAAC
rnacentral:misc_RNA from 1 species